AGUAUGUGGUAUUUGUGGUAUGAGGCAUAAUGAUAUUGCCUUCUCUCUCACCCUACUCUAACAAGGUUUUGAUAUCUGGAGCUUAUAGGUGGGAGACAGCUAAUACAUACUUACAAGACAUUUAUUGCAUAGUCAAACCAUGGAUCCAGAGAAACAAGUCAAUAAGUCAAAUCAAGAUGUGCAUGUGUGGCGGAUGAAUGGUGUAUGGUGAUGAUGGUGAUAAUGGUGAAAACAAUGGUGAAAGUCUAAUUCUACUUUUGCUCUUUUGAGGGGAUACGUACCUUUCUUGCACUUUGAAGCUUUUUGAGGAGAACGAGAUGCUCUAUAUUUUCUUUUUCUUUUCUCUCAGGUGGGUAUCUUGUACCCCUAAUUCUACUGUUGGACACUUAUCCAUUUUUACCUCUCAUCUCACUUUUUUUUUGUUUCUUUCGAGGUUCCGGGCACUUGCCCCUUUUUAUUUCCUCGUAUUCACUUUUUUUUAGAGCACUCACCCUCCUGGAAUAAUGUAGCAAGUGGUAGUAACUAAAAUAUCUCGAGCAUUUAUUUCACGAGGAAUAACAGGGAUAGGAUAAUGUUUUUGGCUAUUCUCUCCUGGAUAGGAGUAGAAUAAUUUUGGGUAAAUCUGGAGAUGGAAAGAAGUUGAUGUAUGUGGAUGCAUACUUCCGGAGUAGAAGCAGCAUGUAUGAGUGAACGUGCAAGUGAAUCUUGAUUUUAACCGCAUGACAAGCUCCUAAGGGUCUACAGCUUGACCACACUCAAUGCUCAUAAGUAGUAAAAGUAAAUGUAUGGUUCAUAGUCUAAUAAGCAUGUAUAUAUGGCUGUGGUAGGAUUUUAAACUCUCAUCAUACAAGAACUCAUCAUGCAACAUUUUAAAGAUUUUCAAAGAUAAAAAUCUCCAGAAUUCUAGCAUCUCUAGGAACAGAUAAACAACAGCUCAACCUUCCCAUAUCAUAUCCGUUAUCGACUUAGACUUUAGAUCAAGUACUCUUCCCACAAGUUCAGGUUUAGAGCAAAUCUUAAUUCAUAACAGUCAUGCCUAAACUUGAGAGAGAAUUUAAUUUUGUGAACUAGUCAUGGCAGAGCAACUAUUCAUUAUUUCCAUGUGAGUGCUUAUCAUGAGGGUUCAUAGCAAACUUUAUUUAUUUAUUUAGCAAACUAAGCAUAGAUAUAAGCAUAAAAUCUUUAUUUGGGUUUUUAUGAUUAUGCAUCUUUUUAUUAUUUGAGUAAAAUAUAAACAUGAGUAGAAACACUUAGCUGGAUAAAUGGGGUGUUCUCCCCCAAGCUAGAUUUUGACGUAAUUUCUUCUCAUGUAGCUAGCAGGUGGUUGAGGUGUAUUUGAAUGUCGGCAGUACCCUGACAGCGAUUAGGAUGUCCUCUGUCUGCUAGUCUUCUUUGAUCCUUGAAUUCUGUGGAGCUCAAAUAGACAACAAAGCUUUGUGGAACUAGUUAAGUGUUAGCAUAAAAAUCUCCUUGCCUUUAUCAUGUUGAGCUUCCUCUAAUAAAUAUUACUCUCUUUGGUAGGAUCAUAAAUUUAUUUUUAUAUUUUCAUUUUUGUAGGACAGGAAUAUAUUUAUUUUAUUUUUAGGCCACCACAGUGAAUGUACUUUUCGGUUUUAUGCCACGAGCAUACUCACAUGGGGCUUACUAUUCUUAACAUUUUUAUUUUAUUUUCAAGAUAGCAUGAUUAACUAAUAAGGUAUUUAAGGAAAGUAAAUAAUUUAAGAGAAAAGGGAAUGCAGAAAGGAUAAAUAUGGAUAACUACCGAUUUUACCUUCAAUGUUUUAAGUCUUCUGAACAAGACUUCUCACCGUGUUCAUUCUUCACGUGCGUCAUUUGAUUCAGGUGCGGACCUUGACGUCUACUCCUCUUGAUACGGUGUCACCCAUGUUCUUCGUUUGUCCAGCAGUUCAAAGUGCGGUGCUGGUAGUAUCUUGCUCAGUGUAUUUGUGCUCGUAGUGUACCUGCUCAUAGAGACAAGGCAGAGAUCAAGUGCAUGGGCCCUGUUGGUGGAAAACACCAACAGAACCAAAAGUGUAUUUGUUCUUCUCUAACCUUAAGCAUAGUGAGCAAGACAAAGUUGAUGGAUCAUGAGUGUAGCAUUUGUCAGAUCAGAUGGCUCAACCUAAUGGAAAGAUAAUCUAUCUAUAUUUAUGUUUUGUUUAUAUCUUCCAAACAUUGAAUGUGCAACAUUUUAGCUUAUAUGAUUAGGAGUGUGGGAUCACGAAGGUAGUAAUA
rnacentral:lncRNA from 1 species